CAUGCCCCUUGAGGCGUUGCAGUCCAACAUUUUGUUGAGCCUGUGUCAUUAGGUGGCAGAGAAUAAAAGGUCUACAUCAUCAUCUGCAUUCAGUACCUACAAC
ensembl:snoRNA